CGGCUGCUCAGUAACACGUAGUCAACUUACCCUAUGGACGAGGAUAAUCUCGGGAAACUGAGCAUAAUACUCGAUAGAUCAUAAUGCCUGGAAUGGUUUAUGGUUGAAAUGAUUCAUCGCCAUAGGAUGGGACUGCGGCCUAUCAGCUUGUUGGUGAGGUAAUGGCCCACCAAGGCGAUUACAGGUACGGGCUCUGAGAGGAGAAGCCCGGAGAUGGGUACUGAGACAAGGACCCAGGCCCUAUGGGGCGCAGCAGGCGAGGAAACUUUGCAAUGUGCGAAAGCACGACAAGGUUAAUCCGAGUGAUUUCUGCUAAAGAAAUCUUUUGCAAGUCAUAAAACCACUAGUGAAUGAGGGGUGGGCAAGUUCUGGUGUCAGCCGCCGCGGUAAAACCAGCACCUCAAGUGGUCAGGAGGAUUAUUGGGCCUAAAGCAUCCGUAGCCGGCUCUGUAAGUUUUCGGUUAAAUCCAUGUGCUCAACGCAUGGGCUGCCGAAAAUACUGCAUAGCUAGGGAGUGGGAGAGGUAGACGGUACUCGGUAGGAAGGGGUAAAAUCCUUUGAUCUAUCGAUGACCACCUGUGGCGAAGGCGGUCUACCAGAACACGUUCGACGGUGAGGGAUGAAAGCUGGGGGAGCAAACCGGAUUAGAUACCCGGGUAGUCCCAGCUGUAAACGAUGCAGACUCGAUGAUGCAUUGGCAUAUAGCCAGUGCAGUGUCGCAGGGAAGCCGUUAAGUCUGCCGCCUGGGAAGUACGUACGCAAGUAUGAAACUUAAAGGAAUUGGCGGGGGAGCAG
rnacentral:rRNA from 1 species